rfam:Tursiops truncatus cont1.369364, whole genome shotgun sequence.
GGGAGAGCACCCCAUUUCCCCUGCUUUCGUGGCAGCCUAUGAGAUGAUUUACUGGAGCUCAGUUUUGGG